GAAUUCGCCCUUCUGGUUGAUCCUGCCAGAGGUCACUGCUAUCGGUGUUCGACUAAGCCAUGCGAGUCAAAUGUUCUUCGUGAACAUGGCGUACUGCUCANUAACACGUGGAUAACCUGCCCUUAGGACUGGCAUAACCCCGGAAAACUGGGGAUAAUUCCGGAUAGUUCAUGGUAGCUGGAAUGCUCCAUGAUCGAAAGCUAUUGCGCCUAAGGAUGGGUCUGCGGUCUAUCAGGUAGUAGUGGGUGUAAUGUACCUACUAGCCGACGACGGAUACGGGUUGUGGGAGCAAGAGCCCGGAGAUGGAUUCUGAGACAUGAAUCCAGGCCCUACGGGGCGCAGCAGGCGCGAAAACUUUACAAUGCGGGAAACCGCGAUAAGGGGACACCGAGUGCCAGCAUCUUAUGUUGGCUGUCCGCAUGUAUAAAUCACAUGUGUUAGCAAGGGCCGGGCAAGACCGGUGCCAGCCGCCGCGGUAACACCGGCGGCCCGAGUGGUGGCCACUAUUAUUGGGUCUAAAGGGUCCGUAGCCGGUUUGGUCAGUCUUCCGGGAAAUCUGACGGCUUAACCGUUAGGCUUUCGGGGGAUACUACC
rnacentral:rRNA from 1 species